rnacentral:snoRNA from 1 species
UUGGCCCUGAACCAAAGCCGGCAGUUUGCUGAAGCUGUUGGUUUCAAGCAGGAGCCUAAAGAAUUCUCUACGGCCAUUUCUGCUGGCCAUUUCAGAACUUUGGAAGUGUGAUGGUCAAUUCAUUAGAAAGAAACAUGA